CGGAGGAGCGCCCACCCGCGUCGACGCAGGCGUCGGACCUCCCGCCCGCUCCGGGUCCGGGGGGUGGGGAAGGAGACCGUGUGAGGUGCGUGGGUUCUCAGUCCUGCUCCCGGCCAGGUGCUGGUGGUUGGCCCAGGCGGUGGCCGUGUCAAAACAUUAUAGUGACAUCCCUGACAUAUCCAUUCCCCCUGAGGUCGACUGUGCGAGAGGCUGAUCUCACAUCAUACACAGGAGAAGCCACAGCAGAAAAGCUGUAGGCAGAAGAGAUGGAGAAGAAGAAAUUCGAGAAAUUCUAAGCGUGAGGAAGAUAAGACCUGUCUUUCUUGGCCCUAAGAUGUGGAGUUCUGUUUGAAAGGACUGGGAAGAGGCCUUUAGGAAUUAAGUGUGGCCCCCAGUUGACAGCGCGGCAAGAAAAUCGUGACUACCUUCCUACAACCAAUUGGAUUUGGCUGAGAACCUGAAUGAGUUUAGAAGCAAUUCAUCCCCAUACCAGCGGAAAGGAACGUAGGUCUGUGACAUCUUGAGCUCAGCCUUCUGAAAGUUUAAGCAUAGGACUCAGGACUUUUGCCUCCUCUGUCUGCCAGGUAUCAAGACACAACUCGUGUGUCUUCUUCAUCAACAUUCACAAGACCCUUCAGUCAGAAGAGAUGACUUCAUCCAUGUGCCUCUCCUGUGCCUUGUACUUCCCUAUUUUGAGAGUUUUCCUACAGUAUUUUAGAAGACUAUAAAAGAAAAGCAAUGAAAGAUUGACUGACUUCAGAUUGUGGAAAUGUGUGUGCUUUUUCUCUUUAUUUCUAUAUUUUCAAAAUUUCUUAUAGUGAUCUUAUAUCACCUUCAUAAUAUAGUAAAAUGUUAUAUAAAACAUUAGAGCAUAUAUAGAUACUUUUUAAAUGGAAACACACACAAACAUUCCUCACUAGAGUAAACUCCUUGUAUACGGACUUGUUUCAUUUUUUCUUUUCCUUAUUUUUUAAAAAAAAUUAUUUUAAAAUUUAUCUCUAUUUCAACCAGGAGACAACUGAUUAAAUUAUUAUUAGAAAUUAGUAGCAUAUUAUAUCAAAAUGAAACAGUAAAUAUAACUCAGCAAAUUAGAUUUUUAAAAGCAAAUGAAAACAUAAGCACGGCUAGCUUAACAUGAAGAGCUAAAGAAAAAAUGACAUUUUAAAAAUUUUCUCCUUACAUUUUUGAAAUACAUCUGGACCUUUGUUAUAGCAUACAGCAUUUUGUUGAUAUUAAACGUGUUCUGUACUUAGUCCAGUUUCUAAAUUUGCAAUUUAUUUUGUACAAAGCACAUUUGCUUGCUUAUGUGUUUUAAAGUUCAUCCGUUUCAUAAUGUUUUA
rnacentral:lncRNA from 1 species